AUAAGCAUAUCACUAAGCGGAGGAAAAGAAACUAACCAGGAUUCCCUCAGUAACUGCGAGUGAAGAGGGAUCAGCCCAGCACCGAAGCCUGUGGCCGUUUGGCUGCUAGGCAAUGUGGUGUUCAGGUCGUCUCUUGGCAUUACUGCUCCAUCCUAAGUCCAGUACUGAGUAUGGCAUCUGGAGUGGCCCAUGGAGGGUGAAAGGCCCGUGGGGGUGGAGAUCAAGUUGGCCAGUUCUGCCCUGAGUAGACCUUGGAGUCGGGUUGUUUGUGAAUGCAGCCCAAAGUGGGUGGUAAACUCCAUCCAAGGCUAAAUACUAGCACGAGUCCGAUAGCGAACAAGUACCGUGAGGGAAAGUUGAAAAGUACUCUGAAGAGAGAGUAAACAGUGCGUGAAACCGCUCAGAGGUAAACGGGUGGAGUUGAACUGUAAGCUCCGGGGAUUCAGCUGGUGAGUGUGUCGUGGGCUUGGUCAUUUUCGGCCGGCCUCUAGAGUCCGCUUAGCUGCGGGUCCUUGCUCCUUCGGGGGUAGGGAUGUGCGUUGCGCUUGUCAAGUGCUGUGCGCUCUGGGGGUUGCCGGGCUGGCUUGCCAGUGCACUUUCUCGGAGUGGUCACCACGACCGGCGUUGUUGCCUUGCGGCUGUAGUCGAACCGGUCAGGUUUAGUCCUUGUGGCUGAGCUUGAUCGGGAUGGCAGGUAGCUCAUUGGCUGACUUGUUCAGUCUUUGGGUGUAAUCAGCCGGCUGCAGUGGUUCUGUGCAAUGCGUCGGAGACGGCGGCUUUAGGUAUGUGCUUGUGUGCCGUGGGCUGGCAGUGUCGGGUUUGACUGGCGUGUUUACCUGUUUCGGCAGGUCCGUUGGUAGCUCGGUGCUGUUCGGUUUGCGGUUGCACUUGUGAUACCGCUCAUGGGCCUAUAGUCUGUGGUGUAGCAGCAAACGAUCCACCUGACCCGUCUUG
rnacentral:rRNA from 1 species